AUUGAACGCUGGCGGUAUGCUUAACACAUGCAAGUCGAACGGUAGCAGGCCUUCGGGCGCUGACGAGUGGCGGACGGGUGAGUAACGCGUAGGAAUCUGCCUCAUAGUGGGGGACAACGUGUGGAAACGCACGCUAAUACCGCAUACGCCCUACGGGGGAAAGCGGGGGACCUUUGGGCCUCGCGCUAUGAGAUGAGCCUGCGUUAGAUUAGCGAGUUGGUGGGGUAAAGGCCUACCAAGGCGACGAUCUAUAGCUGGUCUGAGAGGACGAUCAGCCACACUGGCAAGGAGACACGGCCAAGACUCCUAGGGGAGGCAGCAGGGGGGAAUAUUGGACAAUGGGCGCAAGCCUGAUCCAGCAAUACCGCGUGUGGGAAGAAGGCCCUAGGGUUGUAAAGCACUUUCAAUAGGGAGGAAAACCUGCCGGUCAAUACCCGGUAGCUUGACAUUACCUAUACAAGAAGCACCGGCUAACUCCGUGCCAGCAGCCGCCGUAAUA
rnacentral:rRNA from 1 species